AAUGUUAGUGGCGGACGGGUGCGUAACACGUGAGCAACUUGUCCUUCGGUGGGGGAUAGCCGGCCCAACGGCCGGGUAAUACCGCGUAUUGCAUCGUUAUCGCAUGGUGAUGAUGUGAAAGUGGCCGCAAGGUCGCGCCGGAGGAGGGGCUCGCGGCGUAUCAGCUUGUUGGUGGGGUAACGGCCUACCAAGGCGACGACGCGUAGCUGGUCUGAGAGGAUGAUCAGCCACAUUGGGACUGAGAUACGGCCCAGACUCCUACGGGAGGCAGCAGUGGGGAAUAUUGCGCAAUGGCCGCAAGGCUGACGCAGCGACGCCGUGUGUGGGAUGAAGGCUCUCGGGUUGUAAACCACUGUCAGGAGGGACGAAUACUCGGCUUCAAAUAGUUGACCGAGGGUGACGGUACCUCCAAAGGAAGCACCGGCUAACUCCGUGCCAGCAGCCGCGGUAACACGGAGGGUGCGAGCGUUGUCCGGAUUCACUGGGCGUAAAGCGCGCGUAGGCGGCUUUGUAAGUCAUCUGUGAAAUCCCGGGGCUCAACUCCGGGGCUGCAGGUGAUACUGCAGAGCUAGAGCUCGGUAGAGGCAAGUGGAAUUCCCGGUGUA
rnacentral:rRNA from 1 species